rnacentral:lncRNA from 1 species
UUCUCCCAAUCACAUAUUCCUUGGACUUAUCGUUUAAGCGUAUAACAUUUAUAUGAGACGGCUCAAACAAUAAUUUUUGCCCUUGAUAUUAAACUAGAUUAGUUUAACAUGUGAAAUGUCCGUAAAGUAUCAUCAUAUGAUUGGUUUUAGGGCACAUUUCCAACAAUUUCCCACUUGCACUAGAGCCAAUCAGCUUGGUCAUCAGUGAUGAUACCUCUUCUGUAGUCAUUUCAUAAAUGGCUGAGUAGUAGGCCUAGACAAUGGAUAUCUAUAUGUUAUCCAUAGUAGCAACCUUGAGAAUAACGACGUCACCAUUAUACAUGAUUCUUAAUCAUGUGGUUCAGUCUCUCAUUUGAGUUCGGAUCUUAAUGAGACCUUGAUUCCCUGGCUUGAGCUAUCGCCCCAUUAGUGUCGUAGUGUCGGUACAC